CAACUGAAGAGUUUGAUCCUGGCUCAGAUUGAACGCUGGCGGCAUGGCUAAAACAUGCAAGUCGAACGAUCCCUUCGGGGAGAGUGGCGAAAGGGCGAGGAAUAGAAUCGAAUGUACCCCAAGGUGGGGGAUAGCCUCUGGAAACGGAGGGUAAUACCCCAUGUGCUCUACGGAGGAAAGGUUUACCGCCUUGGGAGCAGCGAUUCUCCUAUCAGGUAGUUGGUGCGGUAACGGCUCACCAAGCCGAAGACGGGUAGCGGGUGUGAGAGCAUGACCCGCCGCAUCGGG
rnacentral:rRNA from 1 species